GGGAUAAAAAUGUUUUAAGUGUUUGUCAAACAUUCCAGUUAGUUAAGUAGCUAAUAUGUCCAUUUCUGUGAUUUUUGUGUCCUACUGAACAUAGAAGAGAAAUGUAAGUACUUUCUCCUUCUCUUCUAAUCUAAGUUUCCUAUAAUAUUUGUAGCAUCUUAGGUAGAAAGCAUACUGGGGUCUCAGAAAUAUUAUAGCUGUGAAGAAUUUGACUCAGGAAUAGGUCAGUUGGGGUGACCUCACGUUGGCCUUGGCAUUUAGGGCAGACAAGGCAUCAUCGUGGCUGGUUGUGACCUGACAAUUCAGAGCAGGUAAUUUACUUUUGGGGGUGUGAUGAAUAGAACCGUCAAGCCCAUGUGCAGGAAGUGCCCUUGAUGAGCUUACAAUCUGAGGUGAUAGGUAGGAAGGAUGGGGUAGAAGGCGUGUAUGGACCCUUGAACAUGAAUGUAAUUACACCUGAUUGGUUUGCUAAGGCUGCCAUAGUAAGUCAGCACACACUAAGCAGUUUUCACAACAGAAAUGUAUCAGCUUGCAGUUCUGAAGGUUAGAGGUCCCAGGAUAAGGUGGCUCCUUCAGAGGGCUGUGAGGAAGACUCUGCCCCACACCUCUGUCCUGGAUAUUUGCUGGCAAUUAAAGCACCAUCCUUAUUAUGUCAUCAUUUUCACAUGAUGUUCUUGCUGUGUAUCUGCCUGGUUCCAGAUUUCUCUUGCUUAUACGAAUACAAGUCCUACCAGAUUAGGGCCUUACUCUACCCAAUAUGAUCUCCUUUUAACUAACUACAUAUGCAAUGGUCCUAUUUCCAAAUAAUCACAUUCUGAGAUACCAGCGGGUUAGGACUUCAGUAUAAAAAUUGCAGGAGGACAUAGUUCAACACAUAGCAAUUACUAUGGUUCAUAUGUGUAGACGUGCACAUACAGGUCUGUUUCUUGCAAAAGAUGGAGGAAAGCCAGACAAGAAGCCAGAAGGAAAAUGCCUAGAAGAGAAUGGUUUUGUUUAAGCAAGAGAUGAAGGUAAUGGAUCUGGGGAGAAGUGGCCAUAUUAGGGUGUAUUUUGAGAUGGCACUAGUAGAAUUUACUGAGAGCUCACGUGUGGAGUGUGUGGGGGGGAAGGAAGAUCAAGGGCAACGUGGGAAUUGUAUGAUCUGUAAAACUGUGAGAAAGAUGCUGUCACAGAGAUAGAUGCAGAGUUUCAUAAACUACUGCUCAUUAUAUAUCCUGUUUAACAGUGUAAGAAUAUAUAUCAUGGAGGGUAACCAUUGUUAGAAGAACCCCUAUUUUAUAUAGGGACUUCUUUUAUUGGUUGGGAUAAAGAUAAUUUUCUAAGUCAAAAGAUUUAACUAUUGUUCUUAAUUUUGUUGUUCUGCAUACAUGAUUUCCACUGAGAAAAGCAAAACAAAGGAAUUAUCCUGUCAGUGAAAUCUGAAGCCUCUGUUAACAUACUGCCAUCCUGCGUGUUGUCUGUGUUUCUGUGUUAGCUUUAUCACGGGGAGCUAUGAUCGGACAUGCAAGCUCUGGGACACUGCAUCUGGAGAGGAGCUGCACACCCUGGAAGGUCACAGGAACGUGGUUUACGCCAUAGCAUUCAACAAUCCUUAUGGGUCUGUUCUCUCAUUCACUUACUCCUUCAAUUCAUGAGUUCAUUCCUCUGUGUAUUGGGGGUCGAAGGGAAGACAGUGCAUUGCAAAGUACUGAGUGCCUGUUACAUGCUUUAGCAGCCUUUCAGUUACUCCUUCAGUGCUUAAAAAGCCUUUGGGAUAGGUAUCAUUUUUAUAACGGUCAAGCUCUGUUGCCCUUCCCAGCAUCACACCGUGGGGAAGCGGGGAGCUGGAGUUCAUGUUCAGCAACACUGUCUCGGCCCUUGGGAGUCCCCGGGAGGCAGUUCCUAUGGAUGAGUAGAGCACUGGGCAGGUGGCUCUGGAGAAGAUGAGGUGAAAAUGCACCAUAUAACAUGCACGAGUUAAUUUUCAUUCUUGCCAGGUAGAAAAGAAUGCAUGUGGUAGCAUGCUAAAUAACUGUGCCAAGAAGAGCAGAGGUACUUAAACACCACCCUCUGCUUGGCUGAGGCAGCAGAGCAAGUGUGCAGUGUGUUCUGUCUUUCUGCACAGUGUACUACUGAUGCCUUGGCACUGGGUGUUUUACUGGUGAGAUAUCCCCCAGCUUGUCUCUUCCACAGUGAGGGUAUGAGCCUAUCCAGGGCUAGUUGUAUGUACUCAUGCACUGGAAUUUAAUUACACAAAUUAUUGAAAUACUACAUAAACUAAUGAAACAUGAGUGUGGAAAGAAAGCUGUUGUUUUCUACAGAAACAGAUCAGAUAAACCUUUGAAAAAAAAUAGUUAUUAAAUGAAGCUGUAGAUUGAUCAAUGUCAAAUUAGAAAAUAUGGAAAAAUUCUGCACUUGAGCCGGGCACUGAGCACACACCUGUAAUGCCAGCAGAUUGGAAAGCUGAGGCAGGAGUACUGUGAGUUCAGAACCAGCCUCAGCAAGGCACUAAGCAACUGAGCA
rnacentral:lncRNA from 1 species